GGAAUCUUGGACAAUGGGGGCAACCCUGAUCCAGCGACGCCGCGUGGGUGGUGAAGGCCUUCGGGUUGUAAAGCCCUUUCGACGGGGACGAUGAUGAUGGUACCCGGCGAAGAAGCCCCGGCUAACUCCGUGCCAGCAGCCGCGGUAAUACGGGGGGGGCAAGCGUUGUUCGGAAUUACUGGGCGUAAAGGGCUCGUAGGCGGCCAACUAAGUCGGACGUGAAAUCCCUCGGCUUAACCGGGGAACUGCGUCCGAUACUGGAUGGCUUGAGAUCGGGAGAGGGAUGCGGAAUUCCAGGUGUAGCGGUGAAAUGCGUAGAUAUCUGGAGGAACACCGGUGGCGAAGGCGGCAUCCUGGACCGACACUGACGCUGAGGAGCGAAAGCCAGGGGAGCAAAC
rnacentral:rRNA from 1 species